rnacentral:rRNA from 1 species
GACGGAGGGUGCUAGCGUUGUUCGGAAUGACUGGGCGUAAAGGGCGCGUAGGCGGCCGCUUGCGUCGGAUGUGAAAGCCCGGGGCUCAACCCCGGAACUGCAUCCGAUACGGGGCGGCUCGAGACCGAGAGAGGUGAGUGGAAUACCCAGUGUAGAGGUGAAAUUCGUAGAUAUUGGGUGGAACACCGGUGGCGAAGGCGGCAUCCUGGACCGGCAUUGACGCCGAGGCGCGAAAGCCAGGGGAGCAAACGGG